UACGUAGGGUGCAAGCGUUGUCCGGAAUUAUUGGGCGUAAAGAGCUCGUAGGUGGUUUGUCGCGUUGUUCGUGAAAACUCACAGCUCAACUGUGGGCGUGCGGGCGAUACGGGCAGACUAGAGUACUGCAGGGGAGACUGGAAUUCCUGGUGUAGCGGUGGAAUGCGCAGAUAUCGGGAGGAACACCGGUGGCGAAGGCGGCGACCUGGGUCGAUACUGACGCUGAGGUGCGAAAGCGUGGGGAGCAAACAGG
rnacentral:rRNA from 1 species